GCCGGGCGGGGGUUUUACCAUAAAAGUGAAAAAAUUUUUGUUUUUAUUCUGAAACUUUUUUAAAAAAAAAAUUUUACUCUGUAGAAGGUAAAAUUUUCUAGGGUUAAAAUGUUUUUGAGAAAAUGUUUUGAAAAUUCUGAAGUGAAACUUGGAUUUGAUACCCUUUUUUUGUAGAGAAAAAAGAAAUUUGGUAGUAGCAGAAGGCUUGAAACUUUUAGAAUUUGGCGGUGUUUUAAUCUUAUCAGAGGAACUUGUAUUUUGAUUCGAAACUUCUCGUUUAAUUUCACUUUUGUUCUGUUUGUAUAUCGUCGUAAAAAUGAAACUUUUAAGUGUAUAUUUAGAAAAAUUAUUUUUAAUAAUUUCAGAUUCUGGUUCUGCGUAUAUUUUUGCAUAAUAUGAGUUACAGUAUGUUGAAUGUAUUUCGGAAAAGAGAUUGUUAUAUCUAUUGGAAGGUGGAUUUGAAAGUAUGUUAAA
rnacentral:rRNA from 1 species